AAACCAUCUGUUAGAAUACUUACUGCAACAGCAGACUCGGCGCUGCUGCAGUGUGAAGUUCAUGGCAAUCCAAAACCUAAAGUAGAGCUGCAGGACAGUGAUGGAAACAUCCUUCAUGCUAAAGUAACACAGGACUCAGAAAGAGAAGGCAGCUUCUACAUCACCCUCCAAACUACUGUGACCAAGACCGGCACCUAUCGCUGUGUAGCCACACAGGAGGAAAUCAAACAUCAGAUUUAUGCUGAGACCUCUGUGGAUAUCAGUGGGUUCUCCACUGGAUGGAUUGUUGCUGCAGUUAUUGGUGUUCUUUUUCUUGUUGCUGGUGUUACUCUAGCUGUGCUUUUAUACAGGGGU